UGAGGAAGGAGAAAGGGUCACCUCGUAUCGGGAGAAGCUGAUGCGUGUGCAGUGGGUCGCUACCGGUGACCAGCUGAGAUCGUCGGUGGCAUCGCUCCUGUCAUCUGACUUCGCAGGCGGGUGAAAUCGGUGUACUGGAGUGGUUGCCAUUGAGUGCAGCAUAUCAAAGUAUCAAUAAUGGCCUACGCAAUUCAUGCCCGGGAGGAUUCUGAAACUAACUGCAAACGGGUAGCAGCAUCUCACUAAUUGCUCUUCCUUUGAUGGCGCCCUUGUCUCUGCUUGUGUAGAUACCAUCCAAAAACCUAUUGACAUUCUUCUUCUUCACAGGGCAUAUCUCCUGCAUCCGGCCAGGCUAGUGUAUCCCUGCAUCCGGUGCGCUCCAGCCAUACGAUUAGCAUCUCACGAAUCUGCUCUAUUUCAGCAAAUUUUGCAUUGAAGCGCCUGCGUUUAGCCUACUUAUUUUCCUAAGUACCCCCCGAACAUCCAAAGCAUCACAAACUGAAUCACCCCCAAAUCCCUAUGUCAAAUCCCUAUGUUGGCUCUUCCCCAAGCCGGCGAGAUGGUCCGUCAGUCGUCACCAAGAGAUGCAUCCCCGGAAAAUCCACCCGCGCUUGCCAUUGCCGGAAGCGAGAUGCCAUUUGACGGCCCCAGCGUGGUCUGCCGCGGCCAGUACAGCUCAAGGGUACAGGACGUGAUUGUACAUCGUUGGUGAAUAUUGAUCUUUCAGAAAGAAGUGAAGAAGUUGUUGUGAAUGGUAAUUUCAGAAAGAAACAAUUUCUUAUUGUCUAGUUUCUAUUGGCAACUUGAGCUGUUCUUACAUGAACUCAAUAUCACUUAAUCACUCCAUGGUAAUUGAGGCCUUGUAUGUAUGCUUAUGUGAAUGUUCAGUUCAAUGAUAAUUCAGUGAUAAUGGAGAGCCAUAGUAA